rnacentral:lncRNA from 1 species
AGAAUAGCCUAACUCAUCCAAUGAUCAUGUUAUUUGUUAAAUACGCCAGUCAUACAGUUGUCGAUACUCUACAGCUUAUUUUUUUCUAAAUUUAGUAAACAGGUAAAUCGGAAAGAAGCAUGCUAACAACUCUUUUGAUAUAGAAUGUGAAAAAGUAGUAACGUCACAAAUGCGUAUUUGCUCUGUUAUAUCUAGAUAUCAC